rnacentral:rRNA from 1 species
CAUUGUUGGAGAGUUUGAUCCUGGCUCAGGACGAACGCUGGCGGCGUGCUUAACACAUGCAAGUCGAACGAUGAAGCCUUUCGGGGUGGAUUAGUGGCGAACGGGUGAGUAACACGUGGGUAAUCUGCCCUGUACUUUGGGAUAAGCCUUGGAAACGAGGUCUAAUACCGGAUAUGACUCUGCACCGCAUGGUGUG